AUUGAACGCUGGCGGCAGGCCUAACACAUGCAAGUCGAGCGAGCGGCGGACGGGUGAGUAAUGUAUGGGGACUGCCCGAUAGAGGGGGAUAACUACUGGAAACGGUAGCUAAUACCGCAUACUAUCGGAUAACCCAUAUGGGAUUAGCUAGUAGGUGAGGGAAUGGCUCACCUAGGCGACGAUCCCUAGCUGGUCUGAGAGGAUGAUCAGCCAAACUGGAACUGAGACACGGCCCAGACUCCGACGGAGGCAGCAGUGGGGAAUAUUGCACAAUGGGCGCAAGCCUGAUGCAGCCAUGCCGCGUGUAUGAAGAAGGCCUGAGGGUUGUAAAGUACUUUCAGUCGGGAGGCGUUAAAGAAAGAAGAAGCACCGGCUAACUCCGUGCCAGCAGCCGCGGUAAUUG
rnacentral:rRNA from 1 species